UCCCAACCAUUGCGAACCUACCCGUCGUCGUUGCUUCGGCGGGCGUCCCCUCCCUGGGGACGCGGCCCCUCGGGGUGCCCGCCGGCGGCCUACCAGACUCUUUUUGUAUUCUAGUGGACUCUCUGAGAAAACAAGCAAAUAAGUUAAAACUUUCAACAACGGAUCUCUUGGUUCUGGCAUCGAUGAAGAACGCAGCGAAAUGCGAUAAGUAAUGUGAAUUGCAGAAUUCAGUGAAUCAUCGAAUCUUUGAACGCACAUUGCGCCCGCCAGUAUUCUGGCGGGCAUGCCUGUCCGAGCGUCAUUUCAACCCUCAAGCCCUGCUUGGUGUUGGGGUCCUACGGCUGCCGUAGGCCCUGAAAGCUAGUGGCGGGCUCGCUACCACUCCGAGCGCAGUAAUGUAUCUCGCUAGGGACGUGGGCGCGGGCUCCGGCCGUUAAACCCCCCAAUUUUUACAAGGUUGACCUCGGAUCAGGUAGGAAUACCCGCUGAACUUAAGCAUAUCAAUAAGCGGAGGA
rnacentral:rRNA from 1 species